CACACACCACACCACACACACCACACACACCACCACACGCACACCACCACACACCACCACACACACACACCCCACACACACCACACACACCACACCACACACACCACACACACACACCACACACACCACACACACCACACACACCACGCACAUCACACACACCACACACACACACCACACACACAUGUAAUAGAGACACAGUAUAUAGACUACUAUAAUAGACUACUAUAAUAGACUACUAUAAUAGACUACUGUAAUAGACUACUAUAGUAGACACAGUAUAUAGACUACUAUAAUAGACUACUAUAAUAGACUACUGUAAUAGACUACUGUAAUAGACUACUGUAAUAGACUACUAUAGUAGACACAGUAUAUAGACUACUGUAAUAGACUACUAUAAUAGACUACUAUAAUAGACUACUAUAAUAGACACAGUAUAUAGACUACUAUAAUAGACUACUAUAAUAGACUACUGUAGUAGACUACUGUAAUAGACUACUGUAAUAGACUACUGUAAUAGACUACCGUAAUAGACUACCGUAAUAGACUACCGUAAUAGACUACUGUAAUAGACUACUAUAAUAGACUACUGUAAUAGACUACUGUAGUAGACACAGUAUAUAGACUACUGUAAUAGACUACCGUAAUAGACUACUGUAAUAGACUACUAUAAUAGACUACUGUAAUAGACUACUGUAAUAGACUACUGUAAUAGACUACCGUAAUAGACUACUGUAAUAGACUACCAUAAUAGACUACUAUAAUAGACACAGUAUAUAGGCUACUGUAAUAGACUACUGUAAUAGACUACUGUAAUAGACUACCGUAAUAGACUACUGUAAUAGACUACUUAUAUAGACUACUGUAAUAGACUACUGUAAUAGACUACUGUAAUAGACUACUAUAAUAGACUACUAUAAUAGACUACUGUAGUAGACUACUGUGAUAGACUACUGUAAUAGACUACUAUAAUAGACUACUAUAAUAGACUACUGUAGUAGACUACUGUAGUAGACUACUGUGAUAGACUACCGUAAUAGCCUACUGUAAUAGACUACCGUAAUAGACUACUGUAAUAGACUACUGUAAUAGACUACUGUAAUAGACUACUGUAAUAGACUACUGUAAUAGACACAGUAUAUAGACUACUAUAAUAGACUACUGUAGUAGACUACUGUAAUAGACUACUAUAAUAGACUACUAUAAUAGACACAGUAUAUAGACUACUAUAAUAGACUACUUAUAUAGACUACUGUAAUAGACUACCGUAAUAGACUACCGUAAUAGACUACUGUAAUAGACUACUGUAAUAGACUACUGUAAUAGACUACUGUAAUAGACUACUGUAAUAGACACAGUAUAUAGACUACUGUAAUAGACUACUGUAAUAGACUACUGUAAUAGACUACUGUAAUAGACUACUGUAAUAGACUACUGUAAUAGACUACUGUAAUAGACUACCGUAAUAGACUACCGUAAUAGACUACUGUAAUAGAGACCCAUUUUGUAAUGGC
rnacentral:lncRNA from 1 species